rnacentral:lncRNA from 1 species
GAAUUUUUUAAAUAAACUCGGCUAUCACCGACAGUGUUUUUAAAAAUCGGGGGAAAAAUCCCUUUAAGUACAGUACGGUAUUAUUAUAUUUUAUGUAGAGUAAAAUUCUUCGUAAUAAUUUAAUCGGUAGAUGUCCAAAUGUUAAAAUUUUUACUUUGGUUUUGGUAAAUGGUGGAAAUAAUUUCUCCCAAGCCGGUUUGUACGGCCAGAUUAUCGUGACCAAUUUUGACCGUUCAACGUUCGUUAAUGACGCCGUCAUAAAGGAAUCUUCAUCGACCAACCGAUAAAACGAACGGACACCAGGGACGAUUUCCGAUAGGAGCUUAGAUGGGUAUGAUCCGACCGACUAGGAGGAUAAAAUAAGAAAGGUGGUAUUAACUUUAGUAAUGUGGCCAUCGGGAUGUUUAAAACCGGAUAAAAGAUCAGACUUUCUAAGUAACCCAACCGGACGGGACCGAGAACCAUCGGUCGGACCAUUAGCUGGCUUACGGAAUAGGAAAAUUUUUCGCGCCCCACACAAAUCGGCUACCGAAUAAUUUCGGUCCAAACUCGCUCUUUUAUUAAAUAUAAUUCAGGCGCGCCAUCUGACGGUGAUCGGCAUUUUUACCCAGAAGGCCGUGGGAACCGUGUCGCGGGAAACGGUCGGUACCAGCGCGGGCCGCUAUAGCCAGUCGGCCUUCCGCCUUUUAAGGCCAAUGCCAACCACCGCCGGAGAAUAAUUCGGCGGGUAGAAGGCCAAACACUCGUUUCUAUCCAACCACCGUCCAAAUAUAAAUUUACCAUUCCAGGAGAAAAUAGGCCAACGUACUUUGUGUCUGGCUAAGUUACGCCGGAAAACCGACAUUUAGAGAAAGUUGAGAAAACGCUCCGACCGGGCCGGAUGGUUCUUCGGCUGGUCGGAGAGUAGAAUCACCUGGCCCGGUCCGAUAGUUAAGAAUAGUUUUCCAAGCUGCACUCGGGAAUCGUUUUACUGGUGUGGUAGACUUCUCCGUUCGGACGGAUCCGAUAGAAGACGGACUGGUAAAGUGUCCGAAAGAUGGCGCCCGUCAUAAUUUUCUCGGUCCAACCGUAUCUCGGUUGGGUGGGAUUCGGCCCGAGUCGAUGUCGAGAUGGCCGAGACCCAGACUUUGAGGCAGGAUUUCUGUCGGUCCGACCAUUAAUCGGCGCGCUAGACCACGGAACAUAAAGGAACCGAGUCGGAUAGGCGGUAUUUUGUCCACCCGACCGGUGGCAAAUAUCUAAACGGUAGGGCCGAGAGGUAUGGAAAGUAAUGUCGGAAACUGGGUUAAGUUUUUAUCCGGAUAGUAUAGAACCGUACCGUUUCGGUUAGGUUAGUUAAGUGGCCAUACGGCGCACCUCACCAGCUCCGUAUCUUGUCGGAGAAUAAUUUGGCGAUUAGGGCUGAAACAAGGAGCCCAGCAAUAAACACCAUAUUUUAAUCCCGCUCGGGGUUAAAAUACGGUGUUUAUCUGUCGGUUAAGUAGUCGAAGUCGGGCCGAUAGUAAUUUUUAAAAGUAUCGAAAUCCGUCUGGAUUUACCUCUCCGAGAAUCUGCGGGUCGGAAGGCGCCCGGGCGUAAUUUUCUUUAACGCGAUACCGUGGGAUGGAAAUUUUCCGGGAUCCAGCUGGGUAAUAGGUUUAAAAGUAAAGUAAUGACCCAGCCAGAAUAGUCGGAAAGAACUCUUCUGAUGGAUUUGGAUAUAAAAGCUGGGUUAACCAUUAGUUAAUACAUUCUCCGGGAAGGGGGGCGCCGAAUCCCCGUCACCCGUCCACUAAACCGGGAAAUAAGGAAAUUUUAUCUCGGAGGAAGGACGACCGGCCUUAUUUAAUUAAGUGUCUACAGAUGGCGCUACCUUUAACUAUCACUACGACUAGCCGAGAUAUUGGGGCGAUCACUCCAACCGGUAGCCAGUAGAAUCCGGGCCGGUUAAUAGGAGACGGAAUAAAACGGCCGGAUGGGCCACCCUCCGUCCCACGGAGAAACCCAUCGAUUACUAAGCGUAUAGAAAACACAAUUUGGACGGAUGCGAGAGCGGGAGAAAAUCCGUUUCUCCGGCUGCCGCUCCAUCAGCCGUAGGGAAGAGGAAGGAAGGGUCGAAGUCCGAGGGGUCUCGGGCGGAGCCCCCUGGCCGGGCGAGGUCGACCGGUGGUCGAUGGAUCGACUAAUAAAAGUCGAAAUCGGAACGCGUCCAAGGUCACCGCCAACCGCUAAGCCGGCGCCUAUAUAAAGGCCAGCGGGACCGGCACCGGCGCUACCGUCGUCCGGAAAUGAACAGAUUGGUGAUCGUCUGGUUGCUGCUGGUCCUGAUGGAAGGCUCCCGGACCGAAUACGUGGGUUACUUGUCUUCCGACCGCUACUACGGAUACAAGAGAGUGGGCUACAACAGUCGCUACGGUACUCCCAACUAUAGCAUCCAACUGAGUGGCAACAAGGAGGCCGCUCCGCUUCCGUCCGCCUAUCCAGCCGCCGGCUCGGCCCGGGGCUUCUACAGUUACACCGACAUUCGCCACUGACCGCCGGGCUGGGCCGCUGUACGUUUACCGUCGGUCGACCCACCCGGGCCCGCUAAUCCCGCUGCCAUCCACCCGGUCGAUGUCGAGCCAUAGAAAUGUAAAAAUUGGGUGGAACGUCGGAUGGGACCGACAUCUUAUGUACUAAAGAAAAAAAUGCGGAAUUUGUUACGGAAUAAAGUGCCGCGGCGUAAUUAGGCUCAUCUGUAUAUUGUCUUUCAUUAUUAAUUCGUUAAAUCGUGCCAUAUUAAAUAUAACUCAGGUGAAAUAUGUUCGGAUAGAACAAAUUUUUUAUCCAUCGGUUUCUCUCAUUCUUUCGAUCCAACCGCGUUUCUCGCCUCCGCAUUCGGAGCUUAGCCACCGUUAAAACCGAGUUACAUCUAGCAGACAAUAAUACCUUUGGGUGGAGCGGAGCUCUAUCAAAAACCAAUUAAUAGGCAAAUUUUGAUUAAUGACUAUUAUGACAGUGGCCAAACUGCCACACGCGGCUCUUCGCUACCUUCGAUGUGGCUCCGUA